ACUGAACGCUGGCGGCAGGCCUAACACAUGCAAGUCGAACGAGUGGCGGACGGGUGAGUAACGUCUGGGAAACUGCCCGAUGGAGGGGGUUAACUACUGGAAACGGUAGCUAAUACCGCAUACCAUUCGAUGUUCCCAGAUGGGAAUAGCUAGUAGGUGGGUUAAUGGCUCACCUAGGCGACGAUCCCUAGCUGGUCUGAGAGGAUGACCAGCCACACUGGAACUGAGACACGGUCCAGACUCCUACGGGAGGCAGCAGUGGGGAAUAUUGCACAAUGGGCGCAAGCCUGAUGCAGCCAUGCCGCGUGUAUGAAGAAGGCCUUCGGGUUGUAAAGUACUUUCAGCGAGGAGGCGUUACUCGCAGAAGAAGCACCGGCUAACUCCGUGCCAGCAGCCGCGGUAAUAC
rnacentral:rRNA from 1 species